AAGCUGAACAUGAAGGAAGCUCAG
rnacentral:siRNA from 1 species